UGUUCCCAUUUCUAAAAAUUGAGAAACAUUGUAAUUAUAUUCUCUUAUUACUUAUUUAUUUUAAUAUUAUUAUUUGAUUUGAAGUAGAUGAUAUUCCAAGAAGUAUAUAUAUUUUAAUGUACAUCUUACAAAUUCAACAAUAUUUAGAAGCUCGAAGCACAUGUAAAACUGAAAAUUAUUACUCGUAAAUAUAGUAUGAUAUUACUAUAAAAAUGUACAUAAUUUAUAUUUUCUUUAUUAUAAGAUAUGGAAAUGAUGUUCCACUUAGCCAUGGAACGUUUUCACAUUCUUGCUUCCUUUCAACGCAUAAAUCAGUCUUUGUAACUUUGUAACAAAAAUUGGAAACUGUUCACAGGCGUGCAUAACAAAAAUGGUGAUCAAACAACAAGCAUCUAUAGUGUCGGAAUAUAUUAAAAAUCCAAGCAUUGCAUCAAUUACACAAUUUCUAAAGAUAGAAUGGUACAUGAAUCGAAAAACCCAUAAUAGAAAAGAAAUGCCUGAGAUCGGCAUAGUUGACAUAAAUUUAGAUUUAUGCAUGCAUAACAAAAACGGCGGCCAAACUGCAAGCACCUACAGUGACGGAAUAUAUCACAAAGCCAGCUAAACAUUGCAUCAAUUGCACGAUUUCGAAGGAUGGACUGGUGCGUGGAUCGAGAAGUCCACGAUAGAUUGGAAAUGCUUGAGAUCUCACGAUCUCGUUAUCGAUUAUCUCUGUUCGUUUUGUGCAAAGAGGCAUCACAAUAGUAUAGAAAAAUCCACCAGAAUACAUGAAACCGGCGCAGAAGAUCGCUAGAGAUCGACCAAUUCUUGCGUUCUCCAUCAUAAUUUUUCUAUCUUCCAAACAAUAUUGCGAAGAAACACGGGACCAGUCGAUUCGAAUAUCCUCGAUGCACUUACCGAUAUACGAUCCACGCGAGAGGAGAACAUAGUAUUUGAUUACCGCCAUUAUACAGAAACUAAACGGACCGAUCAUUUUAAUCUUCGUAUCGAGAUCUCCUGUUUUGUCAAGGAGAGUGCACAGGGCGCAGGGUACGAGAAGGAAACCUAUCAGAAAAAUGCUGAUUAAAGUGAGAAUCACAGAAUAGAUUUUCUCUGUGGUGGUGACGCACAAUGAGAGAGGCCAGAUACCGAUUGCUUUCAGCAACCAACGAUUUAUCUGAACACUGUAUAUCCAAUCUUUGCUAUAUGAGACGGAUGACGAAUCCUUAGAUACGAGCAUAAUGGUAACUGACAAGACGAAAGUGCACGAUUAACUGAAGGGAAAGGUAACGUACAAAGCCGAUAGUCAUCGAUUAGUGAAGCUUUCGAUAAUGCGCAUGUGCUAAUUUCAAUACUUUCGAGUAACGAUAAGUCGAUUCAUACGAGUUGCCAGUGCGGUUGAACUCUCUGUCGACCACCAGUUGAUUCGAUUCAUAAGUGCUUAUAUAAAAUAAUGGAAAAAUAUGUUGUAUACAGUGUUAUAUAUAGUGUAAAAAUAUUAAAGAGAUAUUUUUUGUGUGAACUUUCAAACAACAAUAAUUACAUGGAACGAUUAUUAAAUUGGAUUUUUUCUUAGGAUGGUAAAAUUUAUAAAAAGGAUAUUUUAAAUGUUUGAAAUAAGAUUUGAAAACAUGUGUUGGACAAUACCAAUAAAGAAGUUAUUAAACCAAGGUUUCAAACAUAAAAUUAAGAAGAAAAAUUAACAAAGGAAUAGAUGAAUCAGAGAUGCCAUCAGAGAAUUUCAAUUAUAUCAUCAAUUUUAAAAUAUAGAAUAAUUACUUGCAAGAGUUACAAGUGCAUUUCGUUACGUCACUUGACGCAAUAGAUUUAAAUAAGCGAAAGCAGUUUUCAUCACCUGAAGUAACAAUACAUUUUAUAGUAAUCAAUAGAUAUAUACAAAUAUCAAUAAGUAUAUGACUUACAUUACCAAAAGUGUAUAUGGACAUAUGAACUAGCUUACCAGCAGUGAUCUUAAUCACCAUGCUGGAUCUUAAAAUGAUCUGUAUUAAAUUCAGUAUAUCUUUUCCGGAUUUUAGAUAUCUGAAGAAUUAAGAAGAUCGAAGAAAAAAUAGAUGAAUCAGACGUCAAAGAAAUUAUCCGAUUCAUGAAUUUCAACUGUAACAUUGACAAAGUUUAGAUGGUGAUUAAUACAAUAAUUUUUUGUACAGUAUAGAAUUUAUGGUUUUUUUAUUUAGAAUAUUUCAAUUGUAUAUUUAUGAGAUAAUGGAACAUUUCAAUUUUAUUUGAAUUACAAUAUAAGAAUUUUAAAUUAUAUAAAUGAGAUACGUAUUAAUCUUUAUCUUAAGUUUUACAAAUUAAUGUAUAAAAUUACAUAAAGUACGUUUAGUCACGUCACAUGUCGUAAUAAAUUGAAGUAUGUAAAAGUUGUUUUCAUUACCUGGAAUAACAAUGGCUUUUAUGAAGGCAAAAUUUUAUAAUGACAGAUAUAUAUAUACAAGUAAUAAUCUUACAUUGCCAAAUGUGUAUAUGGACAUAUGAGUUAGUUUACCAGCUGUGAUUUUAAUAACGGCAUUGGAUCUUGAGAUGAUCAGAAUUAAAUCAAGAAUGUCUUUACAAGGUGUUUCCAGUAAAAAUAUCCUACCUGUUCGGCAACCAAUUCGCCUAUAUAACAAAAUAUAAAAAUGUUGAAGGUGAACGAAAUGAGUAAUGAUAUGUACUUCCAAUAAAAACAUCCUACCUGUUCGGCAACCAAUUCACCUAUAUAACAAAAUAUGAAAAUAUUGAAAGUAAUCGAUGCAAUUAUUGCUAUGUAAGUAAAUGAAAUUAUCAAUUCAUUCGGAUUCCAUUCCUAUAAAAUCAUAUAUAUAUAAUUAUUGUAAUAUUAAUAUCAAAAAAUAUGUAUAUAUAUAUGUAACUUUUAAAUAUGUAUGUGUACCGAUUGUUUCAAUUUUUUAUUGCAUGCGUACCACGAUUAGAUAAUAUCCGAGAAGACACAUAUUCAUUGUACAGCCUAAAAAUUCUACAAAAGAUAUUUGUUGAAGCGCUCUUUCUGUAAGUGCCAAAAAUCUGAAAUGUGACGAAUACAUGUAUAUUUCCAAAAAAUUUAAAUAUGAAAAAAUUCAAAAUUUCAAAUUUAACAAUUUUUAAUGUUUCUAAAUAUUUAAUUUUUUUAAAUCAACAAUUUUAAAUUUUCAAAUUUUAUUUUUAUUUAAUUUCAAUCUUUCAAAUUAUCAAAUUAACAAAUUAAAAAUAAAAAAUUUCAAACACGAA